rnacentral:rRNA from 1 species
UGGGGAAUAUUGCGCAAUGGGGGAAACCCUGACGCAGCGACGCCGCGUGCGGGAUGAAGGCCUUCGGGUUGUAAACCGCUUUCAGCAGGGACGAAGCGGAAGUGACGGUACCUGCAGAAGAAGCGCCGGCUAACUACGUGCCAGCAGCCGCGGUAACACGUAGGGCGCGAGCGUUGUCCGGAAUUAUUGGGCGUAAAGAGCUCGUAGGCGGCCUGUUGCGUCCGCUGUGAAAGCCCGGGGCUUAACCCCGGGUCUGCAGUGGAUACGGGCAGGCUAGAGGUAGGUAGGGGAGAAUGGAAUUCCCGGUGUAGCGGUGAAAUGCGCAGAUAUCGGGAGGAACACCGGUGGCGAAGGCGGUUCUCUGGGCCUUACCUGACGCUGAGGAGCGAAAGCGUGGGGAGCGAACA